rnacentral:rRNA from 1 species
UACGUAGGGGGCAAGCGUUAUCCGGAUUUACUGGGUGUAAAGGGGGCGCAGACGGCGAUGCAAGCCAGGAGUGAAAGCCCGGGGCCCAACCCCGGGACUGCUCUUGGAACUGCGUGGCUGGAGUGCAGGAGGGGCAGGCGGAAUUCCUGGUGUAGCGGUGAAAUGCGUAGAUAUCAGGAGGAACACCGGUGGCGAAGGCGGCCUGCUGGACUGCAACUGACGUUGAGGCCCGAAAGCGUGGGGAGCAGACAGG